rnacentral:rRNA from 1 species
UACGAACUGUGCAAACGUUAUUCGGAAUCACUGGGCUUACAGGGUGCGUAGGCGGUCUGUUAAGUAGGGUGUGAAAGCCCCCGGCUCAACCGGGGAAUUGCGCCCUAAACUGGCGGACUGGAGUGAGAUAGGGGUGUGCGGAACUUCCGGUGGAGCGGUGAAAUGUGUUGAUAUCGGAAGGAACGCCGGUGGCGAAAGCGGCACACUGGAUCUCAACAGACGCUGAGGCACGAAAGCCAGGGGAGCGAACGGG